rnacentral:sRNA from 1 species
AAACGUCACAGCGCUUCGGUGAAACGUC